AGCGUAUAUAAAAGACACAGAAUUAUCGAACUAAGUGUAGCAUCUUUUUGUAAGGUUUCUUAUAUAUUUAAAUAAUAAAAGUGCUCACCUUGUUUAGAGCCUUUUGAUAACUGGCUCUAAGUGUAUAAGCCCAGUGUCAAAUUGUGGGGUGACACUACCCCUUCCCUGGAAUCACUGGUGCUGGAUGCAGUGGAUUGUGUAAAAUAAGG